rnacentral:rRNA from 1 species
UACGAAGGGGGCUAGCGUUGUUCGGAAUUACUGGGCGUAAAGCGCGCGCAGGCGGUUCUCCAAGUCAGUGGUGAAAGCCCGGAGCUCAACUCCGGAACUGCCAUUGAAACUGUUGAACUUGAGGAUGAGAGAGGUGAGUGGAAUUCCCAGUGUAGAGGUGAAAUUCGUAGAUAUUGGGAAGAACACCGGUGGCGAAGGCGGCUCACUGGCUCGUAUCUGACGCUCAGGCGCGAUAGCGUGGGGAUCAAACAGG